CUUAUAGGUAAAUCCGUAAGUUUUGGAGAAGGUUGAUAGUACCAUAAAUCUUCGGAUGAGUGGAUAGUGUGCCUAAAAGCUUCCAAGAAAAACCUCUAAGCUUCAGAUUAUAAGAACCCGUACCGUAAACCGACACAGGUAGUUGGGAUGAGAAUUCUAAGGUGCUCGAGAGAUUCAUGGCUAAGGAACUAGGCAAAAUAGACCUGUAACUUCGGGAGAAAGGUCGCCCCGCUU
rnacentral:rRNA from 13 species